rnacentral:rRNA from 1 species
UACAGAGGGGGCAAGCGUUGUUCGGAAUUACUGGGCGUAAAGGGCGCGUAGGCGGCCUGUUAAGUCGAACGUGAAAUCCCCGGGCUCAACCCGGGAACUGCGUCCGAUACUGGCAGGCUUGAAUUCGGGAGAGGGAUGUGGAAUUCCAGGUGUAGCGGUGAAAUGCGCAGAUAUCAGGAAGAACACCCGUGGCGAAAGCGGCUCUCUGGAACGGUACUGACGCUGAGACGCGAAAGCGUGGGGAGCGAACAGG